UACGCUUGUAGAAACUACUUAAUCACUCCUCUACAAGUUUGUAGAUCGCCAGCAGAGCAUCUUUACGAGUCACAAAUUAGGACAAGAAACCCAUUUAAACGACUGUUUGGUGUGUGGAAAACGCGGUUUGCGUGUAUCGCUUUAGGACUACGCGUAAACUUAAACAACUCGUUCGCUAUCAUUAUAGCAACAGUUGUGCUACACAAUAUUGCUCGUCAGGCAAAAGAAGAUGUUCCCAUGGACGACCCAAAUGUCUUCUUGCCAACUACAUGGGCCGCUUUAUUACGGCAAGAACAAACUCCAGCAGUGGCUGACGAACCACCUGUUAAACCACAUAACAGAAGACGACGAGACAAUCCUAAUCAGCGGCGCCGCCAAGCUUUAAUUGAAAACCACUUUAUGAUGUUGGCUACACGAGAUGUUCAAAAUAAAGAGGAAAGAGCAGGACAAUAAAAUUCAUUGCAUUGCAUGAAUUGCAACAAUGAUUACAACCUGGAUGGAAAUGUUUCCAUUAAAAUAGAGACGUUAUAUUUAUAUCAACAAAGUUUGAUUAUAAAGAGCGACAUUA